rnacentral:rRNA from 1 species
GUAGUUUGAUCGUGGCUCAGAUUGAACGCUGGCGGCAUGCCUUACACAUGCAAGUCGAACGGCAGCAUGAUCUAGCUUGCUAGAUUGAUGGCGAGUGGCGAACGGGUGAGUAAUACGAUCGGAACGUGCCCUGUAGUGGGGAUAACUAGUCGAAAGAUUAGCUAAUACCGCAUACGACCUGAGGGUGAAAGUGGGGGACCGCAAGGCCUCAUGCUAUAGGAGCGGCCGAUGUCUGAUUAGCUAGUUGGUGGGGUAAAGGCCCACCAAGGCGACGAUCAGUAGCUGGUCUGAGAGGACGAUCAGCCGACACUGGGACUGAGACACGGCCCAGACUCCUACGGGAGGCAGCAGU